rnacentral:tRNA from 1 species
GCCUCAUUAGCGCAGUAGCUAGCACGUCAGUCUCAUAAUCUGAAUGUCGUGAGUUCGAUCCUCAUAUGGGGCA